UAUUCUUCCUCAACUGCUUGAUGGUAUGUUGCUUUUGACACCUUUUUAUUUUAUUAAUGAUCUUUAUUUUGAGUGCUUGGAGCCUGUCAACCAUGAAGUUUAUAAACCUCGGCCAUCAUUCAUUUCUGUUUUAUUUUCUUUUUAUUUUUCACUCAACUCUACAGAAUUAAUAAGAUAGACCAUUUACCUUCAGAUAAAAAGUUUGGUGAUAUAACUCUUUUCUCUACUUCCUCUAGAGUUCUUUAAACUAAUGAAUGA
rnacentral:misc_RNA from 1 species